AGGGUAAUAUAUCAAUUGGCAGAUUACUUGCUUUGGGAGCAUGAGGUUGUGGGUUCGAGUCCCGCUUACCCUA
rnacentral:tRNA from 1 species